rnacentral:rRNA from 1 species
AUUGAACGCUGGCGGCAUGCCUUACACAUGCAAGUCGAACGGCAGCACGGGAGCAAUCCUGGUGGCGAGUGGCGAACGGGUGAGUAAUAUAUCGGAACGUGCCCGGUCGUGGGGGAUAACGUAGCGAAAGCUACGCUAAUACCGCAUACGAUCUACGGAUGAAAGCGGGGGAUCGCAAGACCUCGCGCGAUUGGAGCGGCCGAUAUCAGAUUAGGUAGUUGGUGAGGUAAAGGCUCACCAAGCCGACGAUCUGUAGCUGGUCUGAGAGGACGACCAGCCACACUGGGACUGAGACACGGCCCAGACUCCUACGGGAGGCAGCAGU